rnacentral:lncRNA from 1 species
GCAAAGCUCAUUAAGCUCAUGUUUUUGAAAGCACACACAUGAUUUAAUAGUUAAGAAAUGUGCCCAGGACUACAAUGCUGAGGGAUGGUUGCUGAAGUGGUUUUUUUUUUUUUUUUUUUUUUUUUUUUUUUUUUUUUGUGCCUGCGCUCCUGGGACAUUUGCUGUGCUGAGAUAUGGUGACGAAAGUGCUAAUGAAGGAUGCCAGCGGAACCCUCCAUUUCGGGCUGUCAUCCCAGAGAAGGUAGAAGUUUGCAGAUCCCUCUUCUAGAAGGGACAGUGUUUGAAAUGCACAUCUCCUUGGCCUUGAGAUCUCAAUGCCUGCAGGUUACCUCUGUCCAAAGUAAGUAUUUACCAAAAUAAGUAUGCUUUACAGGUAUUGUUAUUAGUAUUAUUUAUAUUAUUUUCUGCAUGUCUCAUGCCAUGAAAAGGUGAAAAAGCCCAGAACAUGAUUCCACUAUUGUAGAGCUGGCCUUGAAUUUCCUAGUAUAUUAAUGACAGUAAAUGAUGUAAUUCUUUUGGAGUAUUUUGGGAGUAUUUCUUCUAAGUUUUUUUAAGUCUACAUUGUUUGAUUUUAUCUUUUCCCUGGGAAAGAUUUUUUUGACACAACUUUAUAUUUAAACAGUAUUAACUAUUUCCUUUUUUUUUUUUUUUUUUUUUUUUUUACUGGCCAUUAGCUAGUGGAGGUGGAUCUCUCUAAUCAGUGGCCAGAAUAGUCUGAGAUUUUGAGGACAAGGUAGAAGAAGACUACUCUCUCUUUCACGUCCUUUUUCAUAUGUGAAGAACAGGCAGACAAAAUACGUGAACUGUCUUACCAGUAAUGGGUCCUAGUGACAAGAAGUUAUUAGACCCUCGUGAUUUAUAUCUUACAAGAUUGGUUUAAACCAAACUACCAUCAAGCACACUUCUUCAUACCCAGGAAAUACAUUUGUUGCAUCAAUGAUGUUAUGAUUUAGCUAUGAUUUUCCAUCUGGUCUUGUGUAUAAAGGAGAGCCAAACUGCCUUUGAAAUGUUGUUUCUUAAAGGUGACAAUUUCAAUCACCCCUGCUGUAGGUGGAGGGCACAGCCUAUUUCUUUUCUAAUUAAGUGCAUCAUUCCUUUCUAACAAGGUCGCACAAAGCAGGAUCAUAUGCAGGGAAAUACACUAGACCGUUGAAUGUCUAGUCUUUUUAAGAAGUUCAUCCGAUUUUAUUUUAUUUAAUAAGUACUUUCGGAUUGCUAACGAUAAGACACUAAGCUUGGUGGUGCAAGGAUAAUAAAGUCCUGUGUGACUGUUAUGUUUGAUGGUCU